rnacentral:lncRNA from 1 species
AACCAUAUGAGCCUUGCUCAUUGCUCCCAUAAUUGAUAGUGGAGUGUGACAUUGUUUGGUGAUUUUUCCCUAAUAAAUUUGUUGCAGGGGCAAUUUACUAUUUUUGAGAAAAUACUUUAUGUAUACUAAAAUUUACACUUAAAAUUUUAGUAUCUUAAAAUAUAAAGUAACUGAUGCAUCAAAUUUACACUAGAAAAUAUGAU